rnacentral:misc_RNA from 1 species
UUUCCGUAGGUGAACCUGCGGAAGGAUCAUUAUUGAAUACGUUUGGUUCUGAUGCUGGCUCUUCACUGAGCAUGUGCUCGAUCCAUAACUAUUUAUCUUCUCUUGUGCACCUUCUGUAGUCUUUCAGAGCAAGUGAUAACUCUCGCAGCAAUGCGGUUUGGGGGACUUGGGCGUGAGCCCUUCCCCUGCGUUUGCUUCUUUGGAGGGCUAUGUUUUCAUAUACACUAUAAAGUUACAGAAUGUCUUUUAAAGAUUGUGCUAGUCGCAGUCAUUAAACCUAUACAACUUUCAGCAACGGAUCUCUUGGCUCUC